GAUGAACGCUGGCGGCGUGCCUAACACAUGCAAGUCGAACGGAAAGGCGCGGCUCUUGCGUGGCUCUCGAUUGGCGAACGGGUGAGUAACACGCGUGUAACCUCCCCCUGACUUUGUGAUAACUCCAGGAAACUGGGGCUAUAAUCGGAUAGGAGCUUUUGCUCCGUGGGGGGGGUAGGAAAGAUUCGGCGGUGGGGGAUGGACUCGCAGCUUAUCAGCUUGUUUGUGGGGUAGUGACUGACCAAGGUUUCGACGGGUAGCCGGCCUGGGAGGGUGGCCGGCCACAAUGGGACUACGAGACGGACCAGAAUCCUACGGGAGGCAGCGGUCGGGAGUAUUGCGGAGUGGGCGGGAGCGUGUUGCGGAGGCGCCGGGUGCGUGAUGACGGCUUUCGGGUUGUGAACCGCUUUCUCAUUUGACGAAGAGUGAGUGACGGUAAUGGGUAAAGAAGCACCGGCUAACUACGUG
rnacentral:rRNA from 1 species